UACGUAGGGAGCAAGCGUUGUCCGGAAUCAUUGGGCGUAAAGCGCGCGUAGGUGGCCCGGUAAGUCCGCUCUGAAAGUCACAGGCUCAACCUGUGAAAGCGGGUGGAUACUGUCGGGCUAGAGUCCGGAAGAGGCGAGUGGAAUUCCUGGUGUAGCGGUGGAAUGCGCAGAUAUCAGGAGGAACACCAACGGCGAAGGCAGCUCGCUGGGACGGUACUGACACUGAGGCGCGAAAGCGUGGGGAGCGAACAGG
rnacentral:rRNA from 1 species